GGGCAUAGCUCAGUGGUAGAGAGUGUGCUUAGCAUGUACAAGGUCCUGGAUUCAAUACCCAGUAUGCCCA
rnacentral:tRNA from 1 species